GGAGUACGGCCGCAAGGCUAAAACUCAAAGAAAUUGACGGGGGCCCGCACAAGCGGCGGAGCAUGCGGAUUAAUUCGAUGCAACGCGAAGAACCUUACCAAGGCUUGACAUAUACUGGACCGCAUCAGAGAUGGUGUUUCCCUUCGGGGCUGGUAUACAGGUGGUGCAUGGUUGUCGUCAGCUCGUGUCGUGAGAUGUUGGGUUAAGUCCCGCAACGAGCGCAACCCUCGUUCUAUGUUGCCAGCACGUUAUGGUGGGGACUCAUAGGAGACUGCCGGGGUCAACUCGGAGGAAGGUGGGGAUGACGUCAAAUCAUCAUGCCCCUUAUGUCUUGGGCUUCACGCAUGCUACAAUGGCCGGUACAGAGGGUUGCGAUACUGUGAGGUGGAGCUAAUCCCUAAAAGCCGGUCUCAGUUCGGAUUGGGGUCUGCAACUCGACCCCAUGAAGUCGGAGUCGCUAGUAAUCGCAGAUCAGCAACGCUGCGGUGAAUACGUUCCCGGGCCUUGUACACACCGCCCGUCAAGUCACGAAAGUUGGUAACACCCAAAGCCGGUGGCCUAACCUUUUUGGAGGGAGCCGUCUAAGGUGGGAUUGGCGAUUGGGACUAAGUCGUAACAAGGUAGCCGUACCGGAAGGUGCGGCUGGAUCACCUCCUUU
rnacentral:rRNA from 1 species